rnacentral:rRNA from 1 species
UACAGAGGUCUCAAGCGUUGUUCGGAUUCAUUGGGCGUAAAGGGCGCGUAGGCGGCCUGCUAAGUCGAACGUGAAAUCCCCGAGCUCAACUCGGGAACUGCGUCCGAUACUGGCAGGCUUGAAUCCGGGAGAGGGAUGCGGAAUUCCAGGUGUAGCGGUGAAAUGCGUAGAUAUCUGGAGGAACACCGGUGGCGAAGGCGGCAUCCUGGACCGGCAUUGACGCUGAGGCGCGAAAGCCAGGGGAGCAAAC